CCUACGGGAGGCAGCAGUGAGGAAUAUUGGUCAAUGGGCGAGAGUCUGAACCAGCCAAGUAGCGUGAAGGAUGACUGCCCUAUGGUUUGUAACCUCCUUUUAUAUGGGAAUAAAAUGUUCCACGUGUGGGAUUUUGUAUGUACCAUAUGAAUAAGGAUCAGCUAACUCCGUGCCAGCAGCCGCAGUAAUACGGAGGAGCCGAGCGUUAUCCGGAUUUGUUGGGUUUAAAGGGAGCGUAGGUGGGUUGUUAAGUCAUUUGUGAAAGUUUGCGGCUCAACCGUGAAAUUGCAGUUGAAACUGGCAGUCUUGAGUACAGGAGAGGUGGGCGGAAUUCGUGGUGUAGCGGUGAAAUGCUUAGAUAUAACGAAGAACUCCGAUUGCGAAGGCAGUUCACUGGACUGCAACUGACACUGAGGCUCGAAAGUGUGGGUAUCAAACAGGAUUAGAUACCCGGGUAGUC
rnacentral:rRNA from 1 species